CUAAUAUAAUGAUUUUUUGACGGAAGUGCAAUAAGCAGUAAGUACAGGAUAUACAGUGUCUCCAAUAUGUUACAAAUGUACAAUAAAUAUACAGAUAAGGCAGUACUAUGGACAUAAUUUACAGAUUUUUAAAUACUAUCAGCAUGAUAUACAGAUAGGUGUACUAUGAACAUACUAUACACAUGGAUUAUGUAAUAAGUGUAUGUACACUAUAAGCAGAAAAGUAUGAACA